rnacentral:rRNA from 1 species
UACGGAGGGUCCAAGCGUUAUCCGGAAUCAUUGGGUUUAAAGGGUCCGUAGGCGGUUUUGUAAGUCAGUGGUGAAAGCCCAUCGCUCAACGGUGGAACGGCCAUUGAUACUGCAAGACUUGAAUUAUUAGGAAGUAACUAGAAUAUGUAGUGUAGCGGUUGAAAUGCUUAGAAUAUUACAUGGAAUACCAAUUGCGAAGGCAGGUUAACCUACUAAUUGAUUGACGCUGAUGGACGAAAGCGUGGGGAGCGAACAGG